ensembl:rRNA 5_8S_rRNA 5.8S ribosomal RNA
UUCUCUUAGUGGUGGAUCACUCGGCUCAUGCGCCAAUGAAGAACGCAGCUAGCUGUGAGAAUUAAUGUGAAUUGCAGUACACAUUGAUCAUCGACACUUCUAAUGCACUUGCUGCCCCAGGUUCCUCCUGGGGCUAUGCCUGUCUGAGCAUGG